UACAUGUGGGGCAAGCGUUGUUCGGAAUUACUGGGCAUAAAGGGUGCGUAGGCGGCUUGCCAAGUCGCAGGUGAAAGUUUUCGGCCCAACCGGAAAAGUGCCUGCGAUACUGGCGAGCUUGAGUGCGCGAGGGGUUGGGGGAACGAGCAGUGUAGCGGUGAAAUGCGUAGAUAUUGCUCGGAAGGCCGGAGCCGAAGGGGCCCAACUGG
rnacentral:rRNA from 1 species